rnacentral:rRNA from 1 species
GAUGAACGCUGGCGGCGUGCCUAAUACAUGCAAGUCGAGCGAACAGAUAAGGAGCUUGCUCCUUUGACGUUAGCGGCGGACGGGUGAGUAACACGUGGGUAACCUACCUAUAAGACUGGGAUAACUUCGGGAAACCGGAGCUAAUACCGGAUAACAUUUGGAACCGCAUGGUUCUAAAGUGAAAGAUGGUUUUGCUAUCACUUAUAGAUGGACCCGCGCCGUAUUAGCUAGUUGGUAAGGUAACGGCUUACCAAGGCGACGAUACGUAGCCGACCUGAGGGGGUGAUCGGCCACACUGGAACUGAGACACGGUCCAGACUCCUACGGGAGGCAGCAGUAGGGAAUCUUCCGCAAUGGGCGAAAGCCUGACGGAGCAACGCCGCGUGAGUGAUGAAGGGUUUCGGCUCGUAAAACUCUGUUAUUAGGGAAGAACAAACGUGUAAGUAACUGUGCACGUCUUGACGGUACCUAAUCAGAAAGCCACGGCUAACUACGUGCCAGCAGCCGCAGUAA